AGGUAAGCUACUAAGAGCGAAUGGUGGAUGCCUUGACUGGUAAAGGCGAUGAAGGACGUACUAGACUGCGAUAAGCUACGGGGAGCUGUCAAGAAGCUUUGAUCCGUAGAUUUCCGAAUGGGGCAACCCAAUGUAUAGAGAUAUACAUUACCUAUAUAGGAGCGAACGAGGGGAAUUGAAACAUCUUAGUACCCUCAGGAAAAGAAAUCAAUAGAGAUUGCGUCAGUAGCGGCGAGCGAAAGCGCAAGAGGGCAAACCCAGUGCUUGCACUGGGGGUUGUAGGACUGCAAUGUGCAAGAGGUAAGUUUAGCAGAACAUUCUGGAAAGUAUAACCAUAGAGGGUGAUAGUCCCGUAUGCGAAAAACAAACCUUAGCUAGCAGUAUCCUGAGUAGGGCGGGACACGAGGAAUCCUGUCUGAAUCUGGGUCGACCACGAUCCAACCCUAAAUACUAAUACCAGAUCGAUAGUGCACAAGUACCGUGAGGGAAAGGUGAAAAGAACUGAGGUGAUCAGAGUGAAAUAGAACCUGAAACCAUUUGCUUACAAUCAUUCAGAGCCCUAUGUAGCAAUACAGGGUGAUGGACUGCCUUUUGCAUAAUGAGCCUGCGAGUUGUGGUGUCUGGCAAGGUUAAGCAAACGCGAAGCCGUAGCGAAAGCGAGUCUGAAUAGGGCGCUUAGUCAGAUGCUGCAGACCCGAAACGAAGUGAUCUAUCCAUGAGCAAGUUGAAGCUAGUGUAAGAACUAGUGGAGGACUGAACCCAUAGGCGUUGAAAAGCCCCGGGAUGACUUGUGGAUAGGGGUGAAAGGCCAAUCAAACUUCGUGAUAGCUGGUUCUCUCCGAAAUAUAUUUAGGUAUAGCGUUGUGUCGUAAUAUAAGGGGGUAGAGCACUGAAUGGGCUAGGGCAUACACCAAUGUACCAAACCCUAUCAAACUCCGAAUACCUUAUAUGUAAUCACAGCAGUCAGGCGGCGAGUGAUAAAAUCCGUCGUCAAGAGGGAAACAACCCAGACUACCAGCUAAGGUCCCUAAAUCUUACUUAAGUGGAAAACGAUGUGAAGUUACUUAAACAACCAGGAGGUUGGCUUAGAAGCAGCCAUCCUUUAAAGAAAGCGUAAUAGCUCACUGGUCUAGUGAUUUUGCGCGGAAAAUAUAACGGGGCUAAAGUAAGUACCGAAGCUGUAGACUUAGUUUACUAAGUGGUAGGAGAGCGUUCUAUUUGCGUCGAAGGUAUACCGGUAAGGAGUGCUGGAGCGAAUAGAAGUGAGCAUGCAGGCAUGAGUAGCGAUAAUUAAUGUGAGAAUCAUUAACGCCGUAAACCCAAGGUUUCCUACGCGAUGCUCGUCAUCGUAGGGUUAGUCGGGUCCUAAGUCGAGUCCGAAAGGGGUAGACGAUGGCAAAUUGGUUAAUAUUCCAAUACCAACAUUAGUGUGCGAUGGAAGGACGCUUAGGGCUAAGGGGGCUAGCGGA
rnacentral:rRNA from 1 species